rnacentral:lncRNA from 1 species
AUCAGACUACCAAAGCUGAAGACUACAAGUACCAGCCAGUGGACGACGCCCUAGUCAUCCAGUGGAUCACGGCACGGAACGCCGGCGGCUCCUCUCUCUUUCCCCUUUUACCUUUCUUCCUCCUCGGUUCCUCUCAAGAGCGCUUCCUCCAUUCGUGUAAUUGAUGAUUUGUACUCUGCUACUACCACAGAGAGUGUAGAUCGAACCAUGUAUCCCAUCUAGUCCCUUACAGCCGGCUGCCGCACGCAUGGAGCACACUGACGCUCGCGAUGCAGCUCAACUUUGAAUUCCCAAUGCUCUGCCACCGGCUUACAAGAGUGCGUGUCUGCUGGCCUUCUGUGCUACGCAAUCGUAUUGCAGCUUGUGCUCACCUCCCGAUAUUGUACAAGCUAAGCCCUGUAUGCACAAUUGAUUUCUGGAAUAUGCGCUCCACGCCUCCACUGGUGGCUCAUCAUGACUAAUAGAUAUUCUUUGUUCUUUUGCAGAUGCGCCAAUCCCAUAGAGACUUGCACUGAUGCGCAAUAACGCAAGCCUGAAGGAGUUAAACUGACGAAGAAAAGCGGCACUUGAUGAAUAUUCAAUUAACUAACGAAAAAGGAGCAACGCCUGAAGCAAAUGGUUUUUCUUUAGUGUACAUCUGAAUGACUACCUAUUUUAUUAGUUAACAAUCCCCUGUUCUAUAUAUUAGGAGCUCCAUGACGAGCCAUGGAGGCUACGUGAACAAAUAGAUUUGUCAGUUACUGUUAUUUUAAUUUGUGUAUUUGUAUUGCUGCUGAUAGAGAAGAAGAAUGGCGAUGGCAUUUUCUCUGAACUUCCAUCUACAUGUGUGGAGGUUACUGAUCAGGCUAUGGCUGAUACUCUCAACAUUUUUCUCCCUCAACAUUUUCUUUGUAUGUCUGGUCAUUUUCAGGCUACAGUUGUUUUCUCUUUGUACAUUUUCACCCUAGUGUUCACGCUACAGGAAAGCUCCAUGCAGGCUACAACCGUUUUC